GGGGACAGCUCUUUUAUAAUUUAGACACAAUAUUAUAACGUAUUUGGAUAUCUUUUUAUAUAUUUUAUUAUUCUGUGCUGAUGUGCUUCCCUUUAGUACUGUGUCAAACUCUCUCUACAUCUGUUCUGCUCACCCUAUACAAUUACACUUACCAAUUGCUCGUUGUUGAUUGUUCGUUGUUGAUUGUUCGUUGUUGAUUGUUCAUUGUAAAACGCAUCCGGGUUACUCAAUAAUUAUAAAGUAUUUUAUAUAUGUGAAACGUAUAUUCAUUAAUUAAAAUGUUAAACGGGGAAUGCUUCAAUAACUGUUUUUAUUUUACACCAGCACUUAUCCAGGAGAAGAAAAAAUCAAAACCAUGGUGAAACAAUAAGUAAUAACUUGCCAUUAGUUCUAUAAAGUCUCGGGCGCUGAUUGUGCAGAAAUUUGAAUUUGCGGGGGUUUCGUCAUGUUUUGACCAACUUUUCCUAGGAUUUCAAAAAAAAAUUUCCGGACUAAUAUAAGAAUAUUCAAAAAAUUUUCGACCAAUACGAGCAAUGCUUCCGAUUUUUUCACCGCAAAUGUAACUGAAGCUUUAAAAUUGUUAAAAGUGCGAACCAAUUCAUUAGAAUUUUACCUUCAAUUUUUAUUGAAGGUACAUACAUGAAUGAGACAUUCACCAUUGUAACAAUUGACCAUUUGCGUAAUAGACUAAAUUUUGAUCUAAACAAGUCUAGACAAAAAUUUCAUCACAGCUUGAAGGAGCAUC